CAAAAAAAUGAGUGAAUUAAAUCACUUAAAUUGUAUCACAAGAAUAAAUGAUAUUACUUUACAUUACUUAUUUCUAAAUGAUAUAACUAUAUAUAAUUUUAAAUCAAUUAUAACAACUGAUGUCCGUAUUAAUUAAUUUAACAUCACUUCAUAGAAAAUGAUAUAACCUCUAUGAAUUCGUAUCAUUUUAACAAAACUGAUAUUGUUAUAUACAUUUAUAUCAAUUAAACAACUGAUAUAUUUAUUAUUUUGGUUAACAUCAAUUAUUAAAAUGAUGCAUAAUUUAUAUCAGUAAGAAACUGAUGCUAACAAUUUUAUAUUAUAUAUCUAUGUUUUUAAUAUCACUUAAUAAAAUGAUGUUGUUUUUAUCUCAUUUCACAUUGGUUAAAAUAUUUUAUCUAUUAAUAUCAAUUUGUACCUUUUUUUUUUGAAACAUUAUCAAUUUAUAUCUAUGAAAUAGUUAAGCUAAUAAUUAGUGUAUAUAUAUUAUCGAAUUAAUAUAUAUUAUUGAAUUAAUGUAAACUAAUAGUGAUCUGUUACAAUCUUCCCCCCACCCCCACAAAAAAAAGGAACGACUACAGGUAAAGAAAAUGGAUAUUCUCUUCUUUUUUGUGCUUUGAUUUAAUUAUAUCAUCAUUGUAACUGUUUUACUUCAAUAAAUGGAUACUCUCUUCCGUCAAAAUCCUCAUCUUCUUCUUUCUUUCAGUUUCUUAAACUUUCUUUUAUCAUUGUAUGUAUUUGGAGAUUGAAUUAAACAACAUUUCAACAAAAUCAAGCAUUUAUAUGAGUGAAGAUAAUGAUUUUGCUACUUCUUAUGAAGAGUUUGAAAGGACACACCACUCUGCUAAUCAGACGAAUCUGAUUAAAAAUUCUAAGAGGAUCGGGAGCAUGUGGAAGUACAUAAUGAGAUGACGUUAAAUCAAAAUAUAGAGGAAAGUAGAAGUUUCAAGGAAUAUCAGAUGAUGGAGAAUUCUACAAUGAAUCUCAUUAGCUUCACAACUGAAUCAAUUUAGCUUCAAGCCACCAAUGAAGUUUGAUGAUGAAAAUAUGGAUACAGAGAAAGAGAAGGAAGAAGAAGCUUAUCUUGUUUACCUAUUUACAAUUUUUUUUUGUAUUCAUCUUCGUGCUUUUUAGGCUUUUUAUUUAAUUUAUUUGUAAAAUAUUAUUUCAAUGAAAAUAAAAAUUAUAAAUGAAAUAUUUUUA